ensembl:lncRNA
AUGUUUGUAAUAAUGGAGAAAUUCUGGACUGUUGAUGUUUUAGUCAGUGGUACAGUAAUGCCAGUUGAAAAUGUUGGUGAACGUGUACCUGUAGACAAUGUUGUUGGGGUUGUAUGUAUGCUUUUACCAGUUGUGGAACUCUGGACUGUAAGUGUUGUAAUUUUCAGUAAAAAGGCACUUGUAGGAGAAACUGAAGUUAUAGAUUUAAUCUUUGUUGAAGCUGUUGCUGUAGUUGUUGGUAAGCUUUUACUUGUGGAGGAGGUAAUGCUUGUUGAUGAGUUAGUCAUUGCUGUAGGCAUGCUGGUUGAAAUAGUUGGCAAAACCAUACCAGUAGAAAUUGUUGCUGAUGGACCUGUAAUUAGGCUUGUAAUGAUGGAGGAACUAUUUGUUUUUGAUGUUGUAGUUAGUGGUAUAUGCCCGCUUGUUAAUGACAUCCAUGUAGCUGUUGUAGUCAAAGAUUGUGUUGUCAUACUUGUAGUAUUGAAGGAAUUCUGGACUGUAGUUGAUUUUCUCUGUGGUAUACUCAUGCCAGGUGAAAAUGAUGGUGAAGAUGUACCAGUAGAAACUGCUGUUGAUGUACCUGUAGAUAUGCUUGUAAUGAUGGAGGAACUAUGUACUCUUGAAGUUGAAGUUAGUGGUAUAUGCACGCUUGUUGAGGACAUCCUUGUUGCUGUUGUAGUUAAAGAUUCCGUUGUCAUACUUGUAGUAUUGGAGGAAUUCUGGACUGUUGGUAUUUUAGUCGAUAGCGUAUUCAUGCCAGUUGAAAACAAUGGUGAACGUGUAUCAGUAGACAUUUUUGUUGGGGUUGUGGAUAUGCUUUUACCAGUGGGAGAAUUCUGGACUGCUGGUUUUGUAACUUGUUGUGUGAACCUAAUGGUUGAGGAAAUUGAAGGUGUAACAGAAAACUUGGCUGAAGUUGUUGCUGUAGUUCUCAAUAUGCUUGAGGAGGAAAUGAGGCUUGUUGAUGUCAUAGUUGAUGCUGUAGGCAUGCUGGUUGAAAUAUUUGGCAAAGCAGUACCAGUAGAAAUUGUUGUUGAGGUACCUUUAUGUAUGCUUGUGAUGGUGGAGGAACUAUAUACUCUUGAGGUCAAAGUUAGUGGUAUAUGCACGCUUGUUGAGGACAUACUUGUAGCUGUUGUAGUCAAAGAUUGUGUUAUCAUACUUGUAGUAUUGGCGGAGUUCUGGAUUGUUGGUAUUUUAGUUGAUAGCAUAUUCAUGCCAGUUGAAAACAAUGGUGAACGUGUAUCAGUAGACAUUUUUGUUGGGGUUGUGGAUAUGCUUUUACCAGUGGGAGAAUUCUGGACUGCUGGUGUUGUAACUUGUCGUGUGAACCUAAUGGUUGAGGAAACUGAAGGUGUAACAGAAAACUUUGAUGAAGUUGUUGCUGUAGUUCUCAAUAUGCUUGAAGAGGAAAUAAGGCUUGUUGAUGUCAAAGUUGAUGCUGUAGGCAUACUGAUUGAAAUAUUUGGCAAUGCCAUACCAGUAGAAAUUGUUGUUGAUGGACCUGUACUUUGGCUUGUGAUAAUGGAGGAACUAUUUAUAUUUGAUGUUGUAGGUUGUGGUAUAUGCACGCUUGUUGAUGACAUCCUUGUAGCUGUUGUAGUCAAAGAUUGUGUUGUCGUACUUGUAGUAUUGGAGGAAUUCUGGACUGUAGUUGAUUUUCUCUGUGGUGUACUCAUGCUUGUAAUGGUGGAGGAAGAAUGUACUGUUGACAUUGAAAUAAAAGGGAUAUGCAUGCUUGUUGAUGACAUCCUUGUAGCUGUUGUAAGUAAGGAUUGUGUUUUCAUGCUUGUAGUAUUGGAGGAAUUCUGGACUGUAGUAGUUUUUGUCUGUGGCAUAGUCCUGCCAUUUGAAAAUGAUAGUGAAGGUGUAGCAGUAGAGACUGUCGUUAAAGUUGUGGAUAUGCUUUUACCAGUGUGGGAACUUUUGACCAUUGAUGUUGUACUUGGUGGUGUAUGCACACUUGUUGAUGACAUUGUUGUAACAGAUGUAAUUGAAGACUGUGUUGUGACAUUGCCACAGUUUUCAUCACAACAGAAUACUCUAAUCUCAUAA